AGGACGAACGCUGGCGGCGUGCUUAACACAUGCAAGUCGAGCGGAAAGGCCCUUCGGGGUACUCGAGCGGCGAACGGGUGAGUAACACGUGGGCAACCUGCCCCUAGCUCUGGGAUAACUCCGGGAAACCGGGGCUAAUACCGGAUACGAUCUUCCAUGGCAUCUCGGAAGAUGGAAAGUUUUUCGGCUAGGGAUGGGCCCGCGGCCUAUCAGCUUGUUGGUGAGGUAACGGCCCACCAAGGCGACGACGGGU
rnacentral:rRNA from 1 species